rnacentral:rRNA from 1 species
UACGGAGGGUGCAAGCGUUAUCCGGAUUUACUGGGUUUAAAGGGUGCGUAGGCGGAUUGAUAAGUCAGUGGUGAAAUCUCCGGGCUUAACCCGGAAACUGCCGUUGAUACUAUCUGUCUUGAAUAUCGUGGAGGUAAGCGGAAUAUGUCAUGUAGCGGUGAAAUGCUUAGAUAUGACAUAGAACACCCAUUGCGAAGGCAGCUUACUACACGAUCAUUGACGCUGAGGCACGAAAGCGUGGGGAGCAAACAGG